rnacentral:rRNA from 1 species
UACGUAGGGGGCUAGCGUUGUCCGGAAUCAUUGGGCGUAAAGAGCGCGUAGGCGGCUAGAUAAGUCCGGUGUGAAAGUCACAGGCUCAACCUGUGAAUGCCGCUGGAAACUGUCUGGCUAGAGUCCGGAAGGGGCGAGUGGAAUUCCUGGUGUAGCGGUGAAAUGCGCAGAUAUCAGGAGGAAUACCGGUGGCGAAAGCGACUCUCUGGACGGCAACUGACGCUGAGGCACGAAAGCGUGGGGAGCAAACAGG